rnacentral:lncRNA from 1 species
UUAGUGUACUAUCUUGUAAUCUGUAUGCUUCAUUUCCGUAUGCUCCAUUUGUGUAUGCUCUAAGUUAAACCCUUUCUGGUGUCAGUUUUGGGUUUCUGUCUUUCUUAGUUUUGUAACUUUUUCACCUGUGUUUUGCAUUCAAGAGGUUGUUGUUGUAUCAGUUGAUGAUUCUACUAAUCCUUCACUCAAAAGACGCAUUGCGGCUCCUCUAGUGAACUUCCUCGCAAAGAGAAAGCAAGGGACGGGUUUUGAAUUAGCCCGGCACCAUUCUGUUCGAUACUCUGUUUCAUAGUAUACAUGGUUGAUUUUCUUUAUCUCUUCUAUUUCCUUUGCUCCGGAGUUGUCAGAUGUGAAAGUGAGAGGAUGCCAAGAUUUGGCUUCAGCUUUUUUGGCUAAUAGGUUCCAUGUUGUGUAUGUCACUGUUCUCCGUUCCAUUUCACUUUCCAAGCCACGCAUCUGAAAGAGAUCAAGAGUUUAGGAUACACAACAUUCAAUGUGGAAACCUGAAAGAGAGAUGUUGUUUGUGCUUACUGUAAGUAGAGUUUGAACGUAGUGUUCAUCAGGGAUGCAGUUGUGACGUCUGUGUUUCUGUUUCCGCAUUCACAGCAAUGUAGGAAACAUAUUAUGAAAAAUGCCGCUAUUUUACUGAGAAAGAACGAGAUAUCUGUGGGAAAUAACACUCAUAAUCUCGACACUAGGAGAGAUUAAGACCAAACAGAAGAUUCUCUAAUUGUUCAUUGCUAUUAACAGAGACAACUUGUUUGUGGAAUCAUAUAAACUGAUCUAGAGGCAGUAGAGGGUAUUAAGAAAAAUAGCGAAGGCCAACUUACAAGAUAUAGCCAUUUGUUACUGGGAUCCAGAGGUAGAGAUCGCUGGAAAAGAUAAGAAAUAAACAACUAAUAAGUUAUUUCUUCAAGAAAACAGCACAAGUGAAACAAUUUUACAAACAUUUGAUGUUUUACAAAGGGUGAUGUUCUCCUCAUCACAAGUGAAGAAGACACCAAAAACCUUGAGUUUUUUACCUUGCAAAAUUUCUGAAAAACUGGGAACACAGUAUCGUCGUUAACAAUGACCUCUGCAUGGCUUCUGAUCAAUGAUAUCCACUGCAAUAAACCAAAAAUGUAUAUAAGAAAAUGAUUUAUAAAACUGCAACAGAAAAUCUUGUCUCAAGAAACUCAAAACUCUAAAAAUCAAGCACAGGAAACAAUUCUGCAAAAGUUGAUUUCAAAAUAAUAAGAGAUGAAGAAUAUAACCUGAGAUCCUUUUCGCCAUUUCUCUUUGGGUAUGACAGGAAACAUUUUCAUGGUGUAGCGCUGAUCUUUAGUAUCAAGGAAACUACAAAACAGUUGAUGAUGAUCAAGAGCAAGAUUUAUAAAAAAAAUAGUUGGCUCGAGCAACAACAUCUAUCAUCAUUUAGCAUAACGAAACUGAUCGUGUUUACCUAUCAACAAAGCUUUUGGGUGAAGACAUAAGAUAUGUGUAGAUGUAACCAAAGUCGUAUAAAGGAACACAGCUGCAUCAGAUAAGAGAUGGUCAAGCAAUGAAUGAAUGAAUGAAUAUAUGUGUAAAAGUCUUGAAGCAACAAACCUAUCAGAUAAAAGAACAAAUCUUUGAUUAGAAGGCUCUUCCAAGGCGGAUGCAAGCAACAAUCUCUCUGCUGCAAUCAUGCUUGCUUCGCCCCAUACCACCUCGAUGCUAUUCUUCAACUGGCGAUUGUGGAAGAAGUGUGAUCGAGUGGUGCCUUGAUCGAAUACGAAACCAGGUGUUGAAUGUACAUAGAUUGACAAGUUCCUCUCAUCUCCGCCCUAAGAAGAAAUAUGAUGAGUGAUUCAGAGGGGAAGGGAAUGGAAUGGAAUGGAUGAUCCUACCUUGAAGAAUCUGUCCCAUAGGAAAUCGAGAGGCAGGUCAUGGCGAGCGAGGAAAAGGAACGCCAUCUUCGGACGCUCGCCCGAGUAUUUCUGGAGCGGGAUUCGGGAUCUCACGGGACGAGACUCACGGUGGUAGAUACUGAAGAGAGCUAGUACGCAUAGAGAGGCGGAGAGUGCAGUGAUUAGCUUCCAUCGAAACGACACGACGCCGCGACGUGACGCCGGAAUCUGCGGCGGCGAUCUCCGCGCCAUACUAAGUCACUCGCUCACCUCCAGAGAUGUGCAUUCGAAAUCCCUGUUAGGGUUUUUGAAAUCGAGAUUUGACGUUCAAUCUCGUGAAAACGACAUCGUCUCUCUGUCCACGUGGUGAGAUUUAUGGGACCUUGCCGUUUAGGUAACAUUCCAAAUGCAAUUAAUUUGUUGUUUAUUCUUUGAUGUACGUUAUUUCUUGCAUCAAUUGCGGGUGAGCAACCUUUGUUUUGGUAUGAUUCCCCGCAACACACUCUUUUCAUUUUCUUUACACUUUUGGGGAAAUGGAUAUAUUUUAGGGAUUCCACAACUAUAACUAUUUGUUAUCGGCACAUUUCAUUAAAAAAAAUCCCGUAUAUAUUACUCAUGAGGCCUUAUAACAUUUCUUUUGUAGCCACGUCGUCACGAGAAUAAUUUUUAGAAUUCUUAGAAAAAUGAGUUGGUCCGUAUAAACAUAUUCUAUGAUUUUUAUUAAACUAACUAUCAAAUUAAUUAGUAGUGUACAAAAGAAUAUUUUUUCUUUCCUUAAAUAAAAGCUACAAAAUUACCUAAUAUGGUUAAUAUAUAUAUGACAAUUAAUGAUUAUGAAUAAUACAUAUUUGAUAACAAUUUUUGUAUCAUUUCUAUUUUUUUGUUUAAUUUUAUAUUAUUGAAAGAAAUUAAACAAGAGAAAAAGACUAUUAUAGCACCAAACCAAGUUUUUGUUCCCAAAGUAGCACUCAAGUCUCAAAGUCACAAAAAUAGGUUUCAUUAAAGAGGUAAAUAUACACUUAUACCCCUUGGGUUAAUUAAUCCAAACCUUAGGGUUUAGAGUUAAGGGGUGGGGUUUUGGAAUUAGGGUUUAAAAUUUUAUAAAAAAUAAAUACUAAAAUAAAAAAUAAAAAUUUUAAAAACAUGGUGCGGUCGUUUAGUCGCAGUGGAAUGUUAGAGGCCGUAGAAGUCAGCUAUAACGCCCCGACCCGCUCACGGCUAAUGGGCCACCCACGCCCGCUCUCUCGGCCCGUGGGCCCCAUCCCGUCUGAUGGUUGGUCCGUUAAUUUUCCAAGGCUUAACGCCCUGACCCGCCCACAGCUAAUGGGCCACCCACGCCCGCUCUCUCGGCCCGUGGGCCACAUCCCGUCUGACUGUUGGUCCGUUAAUUUUUCAAGGCUUAGAAUCAUUGUUUACUGACCCUGCAAUCAUCAUCCGACCUUUUCCCAUGCUUUGGCCUCACUCGCACGCUAUCGCGAAUCACUUCCCGAUAGGUCACCCAUCCUUCCACUACUCCAGUUCAAGCACGCUUAACUCUGGAGUUCUUUCAGGAUGUGCUCCAGAAAAGGUAAGUCAACUUUGGUGACAUAGGUAGCCAAAUCAAUUUUCUUAAGCCUUUUUCACAUAUCACAACUCGGGAUGUUACAUCAGCACUACCACGACUUACAUGCCCGCAUUCAGCAAGAGCCGGUCCCGGACCCACAUCAGGGCAGUGAUAUGGUAUUGUGGAAGCACUCAGAAGAUAACUACGUACAAGCCAUGGUUCUCUUCCUCACACACCUGGGAGCAGAUCAGAACUAGUAAAGACAAGGUCUUUUGGAGUAAAGCUGUUUGGUUCACUCAAGGGGUACCACGCUUCUUCUUUAUAGUCUGGUUAGCAGUGAGAGACAGACUAUCGACUGGUGACAGAAUGAGAGCUUGGGGCAUUCAGCAGGGGUGUGUCAUGUGCGGAGAGAUAGAUGAAACUAGAGACCAUGUAUUCUUUGCUUGCCCUUACUCCUUCUCUGUUUGGGAUAGGCUCGCAGGUCGACUUAGUAGAAAUGGCACAGAUCCUGAUUGGAUGGUCACAUUACAGUAUGUGAGUUCAAACAACCUGCAGUUGUUAGAUAAGAUCCUGCUAAAACUGCUAUUCCAGACCACCAUUUACUACGUAUGGCGGGAGAGGAAUCAAAGGAGGCAUCGCACUAGAUUCAGAACAGUAGAUCAAACAGUUCGAAUCAUUGACAGGGUAGUCCGAAAUAGAAUUACUUCUCUGAUGUAUAAGGCAAAGCAUAGGCUUGGGGGAUGAUGCAAAGAUGGUUUGAAGUCACAGCCAACACAUAGAAGAAUUAGGAUUCAUACUUAUAGCCUUGUAAAUUAGUUUGGCUUUUAUUUUCUUGUAAAUGCCUAUUUUUGCCAAGAUCAAUAAAUUUCACAUUUCAUCAAAAAAAAAAAAUUCAUGGUUUGAUAAGUUUUCUCGGCUGCGAUUUUAAAGUUUGUGUGCAGAGAAACAUAACAACUCCUACUAAAUAAACUAGUCCCUAGACCCAUCAAACUGGUUUCCCGAAACAUUUGUAUUAUAAAUUUUGUAUAAGAAGCCCAUGAAUUGCCGGUUUAUUUAAAAUACAUAUAAAAUACCAAAAAAGGAAAUACAUAACGACUGCGGUUUAUACUAAACCACUGAUUAAUUAAUGUACUAUCUUUGUAAUCUGUAUGCUUCAUUUGCGUAUACUCCAUUUGUGUAUGCUCUAAGUUAAACCCUUUCUGGUGUCAGUUUUGGGUUUCUGUCUCUCUUAGUUUUGUAACUUUUUUACCUUUGUGUUUUGCAUUCAAGAGGUGGUUGUUGUAUCAGUUGAUGAUUCUACUAAUCCUUCACUCAAAAGACGCAUUGCGGCUCCUCUAGUGAACUUCCUCGCAAAGAGAAAGCAAGGGACGGGUUUUGAAUUAGCCCGGCACCAUUCUGUUCGAUACUCUGUUUCAUAGUAUACAUGGUUGAUUUUCUUUAUCUCUUCUAUUUCCUUUGCUCCGGAGUUGUCAGAUGUGAAAGUGAGAGGAUGCCAAGAUUUGGCUUCAGCUUUUUUGGCUAAUAGGUUCCAUGUUGUGUAUGUCACUGUUCUCCGUUCCAUUUCACUUUCCAAGCCACGCAUCUGAAAGAGAUCAAGAGUUUAGGAUACACAACAUUCAAUGUGGAAACCUGAAAGAGAGAUGUUG